rnacentral:pre_miRNA from 1 species
AACAAAUCAACUUUUCAGUUAUUGGAUACAAUAUUUAACUCUUCAUCUUAUUUAAAAAAUUUAUGAUUAAUAAUUUUAUUUUAUUAGAUGAUAAAACAUGAAUAGUAUUUUAUACGUGACUAAUUUUUAAAAAAAUUCUUGAAUUUUUUUCAAAUAAGACGGAUGGUCAAAUGCUCGACACAAAAACC